AUAGCGUCCUCCUCUCUAGUCAGAUUCCCGCUCUGCUGCGGUUUCUGGGGCUUCCGUGAGGAACGGAUUUUCGAGGAGUGGAUUCCUGAGAGAAGAAAGUCCCAGAGACGCGCGAGACUUGCUGAGCCCCUACAGACGCCAAGCAGCAGAGCUGGGUCAAAAAGAAUACAGAUAGCUCUUCUAUAUCUUGUCUUUGCCCAUCUCAGCUUUGAUGUAUCAUGGAUCUGAAAAAAAAAAUUAAAUGGCAAUUUUGGGGGCAAGUUUUGCAGAAGAUACAGACAGCACAAGAAGUUUGAAGUUGGCAAAAAGAAAAUGAAGUCAUAUCCCCAUUUAAGUUCAAAGAUCUCUCCAUGAACCCCAGGUUAAGGUUUUCCAAUAUGAAAGAUUGAACUGAAAAUGGAGAAGAAUGUUAAAGGGGAAGCAGAGAUAAACUCAGGAUAUUAUUCUG